GGGGAUUUAGCUCAGUGGCAUAAGUGCCUGUCUUGCAAGCAGGCAGUCGUUAAGUUCAAUCCCUG
rnacentral:tRNA from 1 species